UUCUCAAAAUUCCCGGUUGUACUCAUGGACAUUUCUUGUCCCGUUCCUUAUUCCAGAUUUGAUGCGUCCCUUCCUUCUCCUUUCUCUCCGCCACUUCAGAUUCCUGUCUGGAUGAGUGCAUUAGGGCCUAAAAGACAAGUGUGCUUUUCUCAGCCAUUGUCUUGAAGAAGGCUCGUUAAUAACCUCUUUUAGCUUGAGGGUUUGCGCUGCUUCUGUCUUGUGAUGAGUCACCGUCUCGCUGCGCGGCUUGUUGCAUUUGAACUCUGUGAGAAUUUGCAUCCUCAGAGUGUUUCUUCCUGCUCGGGUUACCUCUCACUUCACAGGAAGGAUGAACGACUUCUUUCAACCAGAUUGCCUUUGCCGUCUUUCCUCUCUUAAUGCAGUUGUUUGACCCUGCAAGGGAGAUGCCGUGAAAAUGAGCCGUCUGUGAAUGAUUUAUGAGGUGUAAAAACCCAUCAGGCGUUUCCUGCCACUGGGCAUCUACAACGCAACCAAUAGAAUCAGACCAACCUGCAGACCAACAGUCAGAAGAUCUGAUAGAAAAAUGCCUGUAUGCGUCUGCUCUGAGUCAUCUAAGCCACCAGGAGGUCUACAGAGAAAACACUUCAUUGUUGGGUGAGUCAAAGCAUGUGACUCAUUAGCUUCUACGUGUAACUGAAAUGAUUGGAUUGAAAUCUUUGUUUAAAAGAAAAGUACGGUUGUGUUGCAACUCUGUCAUGCUGUGUCAAAGUUUUGAUAUCUGACCAAGGUGAGCAGCCUUGCCACUGAAGGCCAUAUUCUUCAUGUGCUGAGAUGACAUAGUUAUUCUGUGACUUGAUAUUUGGGUCAUUCACAGUUCUGAGUCUGACACUGAGUGUUUAUGAAAUUUACGAGGAAGAAGAACUCCAUGUCUGCUAGCGGAGCUUAGCA
rnacentral:lncRNA from 1 species